CUUGAUGCUGAGCAGUUCCCGGGGGCAGCUGCAGCUGCUGAAGCACAGCGUCCCAGGCUCCGCUGAGGGGACCUGCUGUAGUCAUCAGCACAGAAAGAACUCUCCAGAACAGGUCCCCUUCUGGGAAGCCUGUCUGAUCAGAAUGAUUCCAUAGAAGUCGGUGAGUACCUUUGGUUGGUGCAGGGACAAUGAUGCCUCAGAAAGAGGAGGCCUGCUUUCUUCCACGGGGCCCUUGCUGUUAGUGGAUGCUCAGUGCUUUGAGCUAGUUAGAAUAAUAAAGUCGUUUUCUGGGAAGGGACUAUUUGGGAAUAAACUUCCAUGGGUUCCUCCUCCUGUACCCACCAGCCCCCACUCCCGGCUGUCAGCCUUUAGGGAAACAGAAGGAACAGCUUGAUCAGGGUUUUUCCUAGAAAAGCCCUUCGAUGGGCCCAUUAUGGAAAACCGAGCUGUUUUUUGUUUUCUUUGAUUAAUCACGCUGUCCUAUUUCCCAAAGCGAAUGUGGCCUUGGGUCUUCCAAUGAGUACAGCCGCAAAGGAAGGGCCCAGGCUCCCUGGAGCGUGAUAAGGAUACCAAGACAGGGGGAGGUGGGGCGGGACACGUGUAGUCCUGUCCUUAAGGACUCAGCUCUUUGAGGAAGCUCAGGUUACCCAUUUCCUUUGUGUUUUUUCUGCCAGUGCAAAAGGAGAAACAUUAGCCUUUAAAGAUUUCUUUAUAGUUCCUUGAAAGCUGGUGGGAUGAAGUCAGCCAGAGAAUUAUAUAACAGCAAAACUCAUUUAAAGCAACAGUAUCUUUCUAUAGGGCUGUGGCAUUUCAUUGAUCAGUCUUGGUCACUAAUUAUGAAGAAAAAGAUGCUAAUUUUGUGAAGAAAAAAAAUAGAGGGGCACCGGUCACACACUCCCGCUUCCUUACCUUCUAUUCUCUCACUGGAGGGAUGCAAUUCCUAGGGUGUUGAUUAAAAAAAAAAAAAUCCUCUUCCAAGGAGGACAAAAGGAAAUCAUGUUCAUUAACCUCAGGCAGCCACAGCAUACCUAAUCUUGUUUGAAUUCAGAAGAAAAAUAAGGAAAGAAAAAAGCUUUCUAAAGCACUCGUUUGUUGUAAUUUAAGAGUCUUGGGAAUUUUUUAAAUAUUCAGCUAUUUUUCUCCUUUCA
rnacentral:lncRNA from 1 species